rnacentral:tRNA from 1 species
GGUGCGGUGCCCAAGUGGUUAAGGGAGCAGUCUGCAAAACUGCUAUUCGUCGGUUCGAUUCCGACCCGCACCU